GAGCAAAGCGCCCCCGGCUCUGAGCAGCCAAGCGUCUCUUUUUCGAUUUCUUUGUUCUUCCUGCUCCUUGGCAAAGUGGUCCACUACAGAUUAACGGUGAAAGGAGCUCUAACAGACUGUGCAAAAUCUCUAUUAAAGCCGCUGCUUUGAGCACCACGCUCAGCACUUCAGCAACCCCCGUACGCAGCGGCCAUCUUCAACGUUCUUAUUUAUUUAUUUAAAAUGAGGAGAGUUAUUCCUUAUUAUUUGUGGCCUCCAUACUUGCAAACUUGCCUGUACACUGAAUUAUAUUUGUAAUCCCAAAAUUAAUAUUCACAGUAAUUUCCUGAUCAUUCAUGGACAUGUACAGAACAGCAAAAAUUCUGAGUCAUCCAUCACACAUUCCUAGCUGAGGUCAAAUAAGGUGACACUCAGUCCUGUUUUAGUUCUCAUUCUAUAAACAUGUAUUCUUUCUAUGGUCUAGUUAGUGACACAUUUUUCAUAUUUUUGGGCUUCUCAGUGAUUUUGCUAUUUAAAACAGUCCACAAAUUGGGCACAGUGGUAUACAACUAUAAUCCCAGCUAUUCAGGAGGCUUAGGCAGGACUGCAAUCUUGGACUGGACUGGGCAACUUAGAUGGCUUUGUCCACCAGCUCCCGCACCUUCCACAUGUUCAACAUAGUGUCCCACGCGGGCCGGGCCGCCGCCUCCCUCUGCUGUUCCCCACGGACCCCGGAAUACUUCUGUGCCGGGCAGGUCCAGGCCGGGGUCGCCGCCGCCACCCGCCGCCUCGAACUCCCCAAGUCAGCUCCUUCCCUUGCUACAGCCGCGGCGCCUCUGGUGACACCCCUUUAGUUGUUUUAUAUUUGGAUUGAAUUGAAGCACUGUUGUCCUUUAAAAUUCAGUGAUAUAUUUACAUAUGCACAUGUGCAAUCCUAAUGUGUUGCUAUGUUGAAUUAUUUACAUAUAUGACAGCCUACCUCCCCUUUUUUUCCUGCUCACUUGUACUUAGGUAGGAGUUUGCUUUGCUUCAGCAAUAUUCUGGUUUAGGCAGCACAAUGGGC
rnacentral:lncRNA from 1 species